CGCUGCUUCCUUGGUUUAGUGUUGCCUGUGUUGUGCCCGAAAGCAGUGUUGUAUAUUUUAUUGCGCUGUGCCCGUAAUCAUUGAGUGACCGCCCUGUGCAUGUGUUGACGCGUCAGGAAGGGAGUGUUGCGUCUCCAGGAGGGUCUUCCCCUUCCGAGUUGCGUCUGCGCUUGCUUCCUUCGUCAGGCACCUCCCGCCUCACUCCUUGCUUCCUCCCGUCUCCCAGAGUCUACACACCUGCACUCUUGAGGCAGGAGUAAGUGGACCUGCUGGUGGACUACAGGCUGAACACUUCCUGCCUUCAAUUCGCAUACACUCCUCACCUCUUCUGGUGCCUAUAUUUACCCAGUCCUUCCCUGCACACACCACAGCCAAUAUGAAUUAACACAUAAAUGCCAAUAUCCUUCCUUUUAUUAAUCCCUCACUGUGUUUCCAGGGUGAGUACUUCCCAGACCAUCCAGUCACUCGCACGUGUUGGGAAGUCUUUCGCAAGCUCUCGCUGGAACAGAAAAUGUUUUUAAGUUUCUGACGGGGACUCACCAGGUGUACUAGGCAUGAGAGAGAGAGAGAGAGAGAGAGAGAGAGAGAGAGAGAGAGAGAGAGAGAGAGAGAGAGAGAGAGAGAGAGAGAGAGAGAGAG